ensembl:lncRNA
AUGAUUCCAUUCCUUCUGUCGGAUGUGCGGUUCUGUUCUGUUCCUUGUUUCCGGAAGUGGCGGCCGCCGCCGCAUCCCCCUCUCCCGGCCCCUGGGACCUGGCCCCCCCGAGAGGCGCCCGAGCUGCCUGUGGCCCGUGGCUGGCCGCUGGCACAGGUGCAGCCCCGUCUCACGGCACAGCGGCAGCACACCGUCCCCGCGGCGACCUGCACAGCAGCCCAGCAGAAGGAGAACAGGGCCCCCCAGCGCCCCCAGGCUCAGGCAGCCCCUGAGGACAGAGUCUGCGCCACUCAGAGGUCGUCCUCGCUCGCCAGCAGCCCCCUGCGGGACACCUGGAAGUUGCUGGACCUGGGUUCCAGUCCUUCCAGCCUCACCUCCCUGGAUGGCGCCACGGCAGGUAGGAGAGCGUCUGCCCAGGCUGCGCCGCGCGGCUCCGGGCUGACCCGGGAAGCGGGCGGCUGCCUUCCUCGGCCUCUGCGCGGUGUCCGGGUCCUGUGUCGCCCGGGGAGAGCCCCCGUCACAGCCUGCUGGGUCUCACAGGCUGUCUUGGUUCAGAAUGGGAUCCGUGCGAGAUCGAGGAGCGGCUGGGGUUGGAUACGGAUAGCCUGUGCCUCCAGGCCUGAGGAGGUCCUGGCCGUGUCCUGCUGUGCUGUCCACAGACCCGUGUGUCACUGGGUUACGUGUCUGGCACUCCAGCGCGUCCGGCUGGCACCCUGGGGUUUUCAGGAACACGUGUUGGAAGGGCCCGCCGUGCUGGCGGGAGGGUCGGUGGAGGGCAGCUGGGGACACACGUGUGAGUGCAGGUGCAGCAAUGGCCUUGGGUCUGUGUUGGUGCGUGGGGCGCCGCUGCCCUCAGUCACCCGCAGGGGACUGCAGGGGGGCACGGGCUCGCCUUGUGCAGCAAACCUCUUGUCGCGAGCAGCGUGGCGGGGAUGGCCUCUGGGGGCACCUGUCCAUCCUCCAUUUGUCCUUCGUCUGCAGGCCUCACUCUGGCUUCCCCUCGACGCGCUGUCCGCUUGUGUGCCUUGUCAGUGUGUAGGGACUCAGUAUAGACCAUGGACAUUAGGCCUUUUUAAGACAAAUUACAGGCUGGCGCCGCGGCUCACUAGGCUAAUCCUCCGCCUUGCGGCACCGGCACACCGGGUUCUAGUCCCGGUCGGGGCGCUAGAUUCUGUCCCGGUUGCCCCUCUUCCAGGCCAGCUCUCUGCUGUGGCCAGGGAGUGCAGUGGAGGAUGGCCCAAGUGCUUGGGCCCUGCACCCCAUGGGAGACCAGGAGAAGCACCUGGCUCCUGCCUUCAGAUCAGUGUGGUGUGUCGUCUGCAGCGCGCCAGCCGUGGCGGCCAUUGGAGGGUGAACCAACAGCAAAGGAAGACCUUUUUGUCUCUCUCUCUCACUGUCCACUCUGCCUGUCAAACAAACAAAAAAACAAAAAAACCCACAACUUUGUUCUUUUGGGUCUUUCUCAAAUUUCUCCAACACCCACGCAGGGCUUCAGAAUGCGAACUCAUUCAGGUGUCUCAGGGCCGGCCAUGGCAGCCAUUGGAGGGUGAACCAACGGCAAAGGAAGACCUUUCUCUCUGUCUCUCUCUCUCUUACUGUCCACUCUGUCAAAAAAAAAAAAAAGACAAUUACAAUGUUUUUGCUAAUUUUUUAAUCUUUUUACUUUUGUCUUGGUGUUUUUCUCAUGCAUAUGUGUUUUUUUUUUUUAAGAUUUAUUUGAAAAUCAGAGCAACAGAGAGGGAGAGACAGAGAGAGAGAGAGAGAGUGAGAGAGAGAUCUUCCAACUUCUGGUUCACUCCCCAAAUAGCCACAGUGGCCUGCGCUGGGCCAGGAGCUCCAUCCGGGUCUCCCACGCGGGUGCAGGGGCCCAAGGACCUGGGCCAUCACUGCUGCUUUCCCACGUACUUUCUGGAUCAGAAGCAGAGCAGUGGAUGCUGGCGUGGCAGGCUCUGGCCCCGUGCCUCUUCUCUACUUGACUGGCUGUUGGUAGAAAAUCCACGAGAGGGGCUGGCACUGUGGCACAGUGGCUUAAUGCCCUGGCCUGCCAUAUGGGCACCGGUUUGA